UUUUCUUGAGCCGCUGUUCAUCACUGCCCUCGAGGUGGUAGCCAGGGAAGUCCUGGUUUUAGCCUGCUGUCACCUAGCCAAGGGACUGUUGUGGGCUUUGGAUGCUCCUGGAAGUGCGUUCAGGAAGAAAGACUUCGCCAUGAUAUCCUGUUUUCCUCGGUUUACAAAGACAACUCAGUGUCGAGGGAACUGAAGACUGGGGUGUGCUGGGCUAACACAAAUUUAGCUGAAGCCAAGAAUGCCCUGGUUUGGCUCUGGAAAGAGUACUAAGCAGCCAAGGACAUUUGGAAAGCCAAAUCUAAACCAGUACGGUGUUUUGCUCAGCCCGUUCCCUGCUUCUGUGAGAUCAAUGCUGACACCAGUGAGAUCACUGGAGACAUAAGGGACAAGUGUUAAAGAACAUACUCUGAGAGGCAGGAACAGCUGAAGUGCAGCACUGACCUUGUAUCAUUUGAGAAAGACAUAUGCUGAACUGUUCAGUGCAUGCUGGACUUCCGAACGCCUCAGUGUGCGCCGACAGCGCCAGGCACUCAUUACUGGGAGACUCGCUGUCAAGACAAUGAAACUAUGCAGGGCAGGAUGGCAUUGUCACUGUCUUCUUCAGAGUCUGCCUCCAAUAUGGGAAAAGUUCUUAAAACAGCUUCUACCGUGGCUUCUCUCGUGUCAUUGUGACCUUUUGUUUUUGUGCAACUGGAACUUCAUUAGUUUGUUGCCGCAUGCACAAUUUCCAACGGCUGCUUUGAAGACGUGGUAAUUAUAGUAAUAAUUUCCAACUCAUUUACUAGUCAUUGACUAUUUUCUUGCAAGGCAAAAGUGGAAAUAAGAUCUUGCCCACACCACUCCUCAUUGAACAGUAAUGCCUUAAAUCAAAUCUCUAUCUGGAAAUUUCUUUCACCAGUAAAUUUUGCCAGAAGCCAUAAUUUUUCCAAGGUCUGUGCUUGUAACUGCAUAAUGCAAACACUAAUGCUCUAGAUCAUUUCACACGUUAGUAAUAGGGGAAGCAGUUACCCAUCAGAAGAGGAAAAAAAAUCUAUUAGAUAGAACACUUCAUUUACUGAAAGCUAAAUAAGCUGUUAUUCUGUGCAAGUUUGCAGUUACUGUGCUUUUCCUUUAAGCUUGUGAACAAGCCUUUGGGCUGCACUGCUUAUUUGGUCAUCAUAACCAUCAGUAGCUUCACUGUAGAAGCUCCAACAAGAACUCCCUGUUUUGGGACUUGAUUCUGCAAGGAGCUGAGUACCACCUGGAAAGUAUUUUAUGUUCACAGUUUCUGGCUAAAGCAGUUUGAACCAACCUAGGCCUUUGGCCAAAUUUAUCAUGAGACAUAUAGGUAUCUUUUCAAAGGGAGCCAAAGAGAGUCAUGUGUGGACCUAAUUGGUAAAUGCACAGUGCUGUCCAUUUGCACAUGCAAAUUUGCUAACCUAAAUACAGACUGCCAUGUGUAUUCAUUCAUUUAUGGACUCAGUCUUAGUACCUGCUUGAAUUUAUCCCUUAGCGUUAUUAGUUGCUCUGAUUGAAUGCUCUGUUUGCACUACAUACUUUUGCUUACUUAGCAAAAGAUCUGAGUUCUGGUUCAGUUCUGGUGUUGUAUUACAUGAAGCACGCUCUUUGGAGCCUGAUUGAAGCCUGCUCCUCUGAGCAAUGCACAAAGGAGAAACCCCUUUCUCCUAGCUGAUCCAUGGGAAAGUAAUAAUUUGUCAGCCACCAUUCCUUUCUGCUGUUGUGUGAGACUGUGAAAAAAAGACAAUCUCUGUGUUUCCUGUGGCCAUCCCUUUUGCAGAUGGUUGGUGUCUCAAGCUGCAGAACAGCUGAGCCUUAGCAUUAGCUGAUGGUCCACAGUGGACUAUUGAAAAUCUGAAUGCUGUGGCAUACCAGCUAUUGAGUAAUUUUUUUCUCAUAUUUGUUUUCUUUGUUUCCUGCACUUGCUCAAAUGGGAACAGUUGUCUUAAUGGGAUGGUAGGAAGUUGCUCAUGUGAUGGUCUUUAAGCUUUACCAGCAAAGGUGACCACUUUGGGAGCACUUCUAAUGGUGGCAAGCCUGCUGUUGGAAGUGGGGAGAUUCCUCCUUCAGCUGUGAUGAUCCAACAGUGCUUUUGCAUUCGGUGCUUGGGUAAUUCCAGUUCAUGAGAGAUUGUCAUGAUUAAUAGAGCAAGUACUCUGAACAGUGAUAGAGGAAGAGGAGCAAUGGAUUGGGAGUGUCUCCAGCAAGAGCCCACUGCAGCCAUGACUUUGACACUGUGCAGGCCCUACACUUAGUAGAAUACAACAUUUAUUUAGGCACCCUCUCAAACAAAAGGGAAAUGCUUAGUGAGGCAGAUCAUAUAUUACACAUUUCAGUCACAGCUCAUUCGUCACAGAUCUGGUAACUAAGCAAAUGGUACAGCUCUCUUUGGAAAUGAAAGUUAUUUUAGUCAUUUUAAAAAUAAUUUUUUUUUACUAAUACAUAAAUGAAUCUCCAACAUUUUUAAGUAUGAUUACUGGCUUGAGUGCAAUUUGUUUUUAAUUGAAAACACAACUCAUGUUAAAUAAAGGAAUUUCUAUCAC